AAAUGAGCAGCCUUUCAAAAGUAAUUUUACUAACUCAAUUUAUAAAAACAUCAAUUUCUAGAAAGCAAAAGACUGCAGGUUCUGAUUAUGCCUUUUUUCUCUUAUGUUACAGAAUGGAAAAGACUCCUGCAACUUGAUGACCACUUUGUGCAGAGAGACUCGUUUUCAAUAGAGCCAACCUCCAAGAAGUCACAGGAUUUGUUCCCAGCACUGGCCAACCAAUCUGCAAAGAGAAACCAUUUGGAAUAGCAUCUAGUUUUCUUCCUCUAAAACUAUGAUGAUGUGAGUAGCCCUUUAAAUUACUUUAGCAUGUACAAGUUAGCUGGUUUUAUGUUUGUAAAUGACCCAGAAGGAUGUUCACAUGAUGAAUUAGCAUCAAUAUGUCCCUGAUCAGCUGCUACUUCUGAGUCAUAGGAAAGUAACAUCAGUGUAUAAGCUAAAAACAUCAUCAAUAUCACACUCCCGAGAGGUAAGUUACCUAGUUAAAAAUGAAACAUGCCUUUGUAGUAAGGAUGUAUGGUGCGGCAUAGUCAGAUUUUGAGCCAAACAUGAAGAGUCAUCUGCGGCUGUUCUGGUCUGCAUUGCUGUCUGCAUAGAUAACAGUUUACAUAAUGCCAAGACAAACUAGAAGUCCUUCUUCUUUUUUUUUUUUUUAAGAUUUUAUUUAUUUAUUUGACAGAGAUAGAGACAGCCAGCGAGAGAGGGAACACAAGCAGGGGCAGUGGGAGAGGAAGAAGCAG
rnacentral:lncRNA from 1 species